UACAGAGGUCCCAAGCGUUGUUCGGAUUCACUGGGCGUAAAGGGUGCGUAGGUGGCGCCGCCAGUUUGAUGUGAAAUCUCCGGGCUUAACCCGGAAAAGGCAUUGAAUACUGCGGGGCUGGAGGUUUGGAGGGGGGACUGGAAUUCUCGGUGUAGCAGUGAAAUGCGUAGAUAUCGAGAGGAACACCAGUGGCGAAAGCGGCUUCCUGGUCCAGCACCGACGUUCAGGCACGAAAGCGUGGGGAGCAAACAGG
rnacentral:rRNA from 1 species